UUUAUAAUUAUUUAACAAAAUCGGCAUACUGAAAUUCAGCAUGGCAAAAAAACAAAACAAAAAUAACAGGGUUGAGGACAUGUAAUAGCCCAUUACAGAAUGUCAACAUAUUAGACCAAUCAGAUUCAAAUAUUUAAAAGCUUUAGAUAAAAUCGGGCACUUAUGCAGGAUUCAUGACCCUGGUACCUUUGCUGAUGGAAUAAAGUGGAGACAGCAGCAGUUGUGUAAGCCAUCAAAAAACACAAAUUAUAUAUACUGUACACUGUUCGUUAUCUAUUACCUUACAAGUGAUACAGGUAGUAAUCUUGUAUACAAUGGUGGAACACUAUUGUGAUAGAAAUCAAACAAAUUGCUUACCCUUAUUGUAGUGUACAAC